GCUAGGAUGAACGCUAGCUACAGGCUUAACACAUGCAAGUCGAGGGGCAGCAUGACGAUAGCUUGCUAUUGUCGAUGGCGACCGGCGCACGGGUGAGUAACGCGUAUCCAACCUUCCCCAUAGUAGGGCAUAGCCCGUAGAAAUGCGGAUUAAUACCCUAUGUUUUCCGAAGCAGACAUCUAAUUUGGAACAAAGGUUCACCGCUAUGGGAUGGGGAUGCGUCUGAUUAGGUUGUUGGCGGGUAACGGCCCACCAAGCCUUCGAUCAGUAGGGGUUCUGAGAGGAAGGUCCCCCACAUUGGAACUGAGACACGGUCCAAACUCCUACGGGAGGCAGCAGUGAGGAAUAUUGGUCAAUGGGCGAGAGCCUGAACCAGCCAAGUAGCGUGCAAGGAAGACGGCCCUAUGGGUUGUAAACUGCUUUUAUGCGGGGAUAAAGUGGGCUACGUGUAGUCCUUUGCAGGUACCGCAUGAAUAAGGACCGGCUAAUUCCGUGCCAGCAGCAGC
rnacentral:rRNA from 1 species